rnacentral:lncRNA from 1 species
UUUCAGUCAACAAACCAUAUAUAUUAAAAGAGGAACCGUCCGAUCAAACGAUCAAACGGUUAAUAUUUCAGUCAACAAUCCAGUACAAGCAAACAACUAUCUUUCACCUUCCUAGGCAAAUACGCGCCUCUCCUUUUCCCAAGGAGCAACGUUCCAUUAACAUCAAUUCUUCCAAAAACAGAACAAAAAUCAAACCGCUUCUCCGUUCUCCCAUUUUGACCUUCUCCUUCAUCUCCACCAAAUGGGAAACCCCUAAUCCGCCCUAAAAUCUAGCCACCUGCCACCCCUUUCACCAUUUUUAUCCCUCUCAACCCGUGAAUUCACGAAAUCAGGAAGAGACAGAUCCGAAUUGGUGUCUAUCACCUAGCUUAAUUUCAAAUCUGCCAUUAUGGCUCUGAAAAAAGCUUUCAAAAGUUGGAGAUUCGGAUUUGAAACUCAAAUCCUACCUCAUUUCUUGAGUUUCUUUCAUUUUUCGCUUCAAAUUCAGACUUUCAAGUCUGGAUUUGGUCUAUAAAAGGGGAAGCCAAAUUUUGUGAGGCCUGAAAAUCGGAAAAAAAGGAAAGAUCUGAGAAAAAAGGGAGGGAGAAAACAAAAAUUUGGUAGGAGAUCUCAGAUCCAUGAAGAGAAAAGGAGAGGAGAUAAGAAGAGAAAAAAGAUUAGGAGAAAGGGAUCGAGAGGGCUGUAAGUUUCUAUUAUUGUUUCAGUGUAAGUUCGAAUUUUGGUUUUGAGUUUGCUCGCCGGAAGAUCUUGACGGAGGCCUCACAUUUGAUGCCCAAAACAAGAUUGAGUUGUAGGAAUAUACGAACUAUCUCGCCUUGGAUCACUCAUCACUCGUCUGGUUUGUUACUAUAUGUGGCUGCUUGCAUCCACAUAGGAUUAUUAGAAAUAUGGAUUCGAAUCACCGCUACUGAAAACAGGUGUUCUUGAUUUGCUCCGUGCUUUAGAUUUACAAAUUAUCUUCCCUGUAGGUACUGGGAAUUUUUUAUUUUCAUUUUGUUUUCGUUUAGAAUCUAUUGGUUUUGUGUUCAAAAUUGGUAAAUAGUAUUCUCUUAUUACAUGCUGCAAAUAAGUUUCGGUAUGGCCAUGUUCACAUCAUAAUUUUCAAACGUGGGUGAGUAAUUAAGAGCCCUUUUUGCUCUAUAUGCAUUAAAAAUCAGCAUGGUGUUAAUCUUCCUUUCGUCCUUUUGAUCAUUUCCUUGUGAAAUUAUGAGUUUGUAGCAAGUAACUUGCCAUGCUGCUGUUGCGUAUUUGAAUAAACAUCAACACUCAAGACACUCUCAAAUUGAAUUUGCUCGGACUUGCUUUAUUCCUAUUCACUUUCCUACUGUACUAAUAAUGUUGGGAUGGUAUUGUUGUUUAAAGAUGAGAUAUAGAAGCAUGUUGAAGUGUUGGACUUGUUCAUGUCACUUUGUUUUUUUUCUUAUAUGCCUCUCGUAAUUAGUCCUCCCCAUUACUUGGAUUUCAUUAAAAGUCAAUAUUGGUUGAAUUUGCUCAUGGUGGUUGAUUAGGGAUUUGGCUUUGAAAAAAAAAAGGGUAGUCUCAGGUGGUUUGGUGUUAAAUUUCUUGUUAUAGUUUCAUGGUUAAUAACUCCCUGUAACUAAAAAAAUUGUCAUAAAAUUUUAAAAUUUAAGUUUGAAAGCUUGCCAUCUCUCUUGUUAAUAUCCUCACACCCUCAUGUAUACAUGGAUUUUAGUCACUAAGUUAGUAAAGGAGUUGCUUGUUUUGUUCUUUUGUGUUCCCAGUGAGUAUUACGUGAUGCCCCUGGCAACAAACGGAGGGUAACUAGUAAAGGAUGCAGUUUGUUAAUUAUCCUCGUUUGGUGAAAAUUUCAAACUAAAGAUUUCGAUAUUUAUAAACAUGGGUUGCUUUAUGUUUUUUUUCCCCUUUUGAAUGAACAACUAGAAGAGAUUAGCUAAUUGUUAAUUAUGUUCUAAAACCUUUAAACUAAAAAUCUUAUGGAUUAUGGUAUUCUCAUCGGUCUUUUGGGUUUUAGAGUUUAAGUAUCAUUAACAUUUGCCUAUUCUAUAGAAACUAUGUUUUAAGUGAUCAUAACUAAAUAUGUAAAAUCUAAUAUUCACAUUAAAUUUACUAUGAUGGAAUUAGUUAGGAGAACAUAUAUAUUUAGUGAAUAUGGUCAGUUUGUAAAUGAGGUAUGUCAUGUUAUUUUAGUAUAAUGUGAGUGCAAAGGUACUUUGAAAAAUCAACUUAAUUUUUUGUAUGCCAUUUUAGUCAUGGUGCUUUCCAGUGCUUUUCAAGUCAUGGUGCCAUUAUCGGAUUAUUCUCUCUGUAGUGGUCAUUUAUGUUAUAUUAUUUCAUCCUGACGUCGAAUAAUGUUUGUUUAGGUUACUAAUCCUGAUCUUUUAUUUUUCAUAUGAACCCGAGAGUUGGAGUUCCACAACGGAACUCAUUUCGAUCCAAACAUCGGAUCAAAUGCUACCAGGAUCGCAGAGCCUUAGAGUUGCACAAAUUAGAAGCCCAAACUCAUAAAUGGAGUCUAGUAUCCCAUAUCGUCUUUGAAUUUAAUUUAUACCUGUCAUGUUGAGUUUUAGAAUGAUACUAACUUUUGGUAUUGAAUUUUCUAUUUUUUUUAUAGAUAACUUUACUUAAUUACUGAAUGUAUGCUAUUUGGUAUUUGUGGAUCCUUUAGAAUUUAGUUUUAACACUCCCGACUUUCGCAAAUAACACGUGGCUAUCACUAAGAAAACAUUAUUUUUUUUACCAUCAUCGAUCAACUCUUUUGAAAACUUAUUACCGAUAUCCUAAAUAAGAUUAGCAACCUUCCCAUUUUUUCUCUAAAGUGUAACGAAAGAUAAAUAAAUAAAUUUUUAGUUUUAGCUUAAUCGAGAAAGUUAACCAAAUUUUAGAUUUUUUCAAAGAGUCUAUUCAUCAAUUUUAACCCUUUUUAGUAUACAACUCUAAUGUUUAAGCUUUAUUUUAUACUUUUAAUGUUCCUUUGGGUUUUUAGAUUCUCAAAAGAUUAGAAAACGACUACAUAUCUAUUAUUACCAUUAUUAUUUACACCAUGACAUUUGCAAUUAUUUUAAUUAUUAUUAUUAAUAUUAUUAUUAUUGUCAUACCGAAACUAUCAUCAUUAUUUUAAUUCAUUAUUAUUAUUAUCAUCAUUAUUAUUAUUACUACUAUUAUUAUUAUCAUAAUUGUUAUUAUUAUCACUAUUAUUUUUACAUAGUUUCGACACAUCUAUAAUUCAACAUUUAUUUUUUACACUCUUAAAAGUACAUUUCACAAAUAAACUCCCAUGCCAUAAGAUACUUUAUUUACUCCAUAAAUAAUUAUAAUUAACUAUUUAAAUUCACAUAUCUCUCCAAUUUCACCUAUAGAAUUACAAGAUAUUAAAUUUUAUAAUACAUAAAAUUAUGUUAUCAUCCUUUUCAUACUUAAAAUGCAUGUAUAUUUUGCGAUAACUGCAUUACUUUCUUUGUACGUGGUAGCGUCAUGUUUGAUAUACUUUAAAUUUUCUUUUGAAUAAUAAAUAAUAACAAAAUUUUUCUUAUCACUGUUUUAAGCAAAUAACAAAAUAAAAGUUUUACCUAAUAUUUUCCUAAACUAAGUGUAAGGACUAUCUCGAGUAACCAAAACCCUUACUCAGAAUCUCAAAAUGUUUUCGAUAGACUAAAACAGAGUUUUAUAAUAAAAAUUAUUUUUUUCUAAAAAGUUAGAUGGCGACUCUAAAAAGUAUUUUUUUUAUCCGAAGAGUCACGACAUACCACUAUACGUCAUGUGUUGUUUCGACCGGUUCGAAAUAGCGCUCGACACGCGGUAUUGACACCCUUCCAAUCAGGGCAUAGACUGGACCCCAAUUCAGCUAUAAUGCAUCAUUUGGGGCAUGUCGGUUAGAUGACUACCUCCCAUAGUCUCAGUAUCAGUCUCAGUAAAAGAACUCAGAUAGUUCUUCAGAAUUCAGGACUGUCAAAUACAGUCAACUCAGAUACAAUAUGGAACUUAGCUAGUUCCAUCAGAUCCAGGACUGUAAGAUACAGUCACUCAUGUUAUCAGUUAUCAUAUUUCAGUCAUUAGUCAUGUUAGUCAUCAACAUACUCAUGUUAUCACGAUUUCAGAUAUAGUUACUAUGUAUGCAUGCAUGCAUUCUCAUGUUCAUAUUAGUCAGUUAGCCAGUAUUGUUCAUGCAUAAGAACCUUAUGCAUUCAGCCUACCUCACAUACAUAUCAAUACAUUCAAAGUACUAAUGCAUUUGCGCUAUGGUGUCUUAUACCAUAGGUUCAGAUACAUGAGCUCCAGAGCAUCAGUAGAUUCCAGAUAUCAAUAGUCAGAGUUAGCAGUGAUUCCUCAUCCUUCGAGGACCUAAUUAUUUCUCUAUUAUCUCAUUAAUUAGUUUAUUAGUUGGAGUUAGUUGGGGACAUAUCCUACCAACUCCUUACUUAGACAGUUCAGUCAGUUAGAGGCUUUCCAGACUAUUAUGUUCAGACAGUUAUUUCAGUUGUUUUGUGCAUUUCAUACCCCGUUUAAAUGUUACAUUUUAUUUCAGUUAUGUGAACCUUAUGCCCUUUCAGUUCAUGUUUCUGCAUUAUUCAAUACAUUAUGUAGUAUACAAGUACAAAUAUCAGUCAUGGGUUAGCUUGUGGUCCUUUGUGGUCAUGAGCACCGUGUAGCAUUCCGGGUACUAGAUUUGGAGUGUUACAUAUAGUUCCUCAGAUUUCAGGACUUUCAGAUACAGUCACUCAACUCAAUACGAAACUCAGCUAGUUCCAUCAGAAUUAGAACUGUCAGAAAUAGUCAUUCAGUUAACAGUACAUCAGUUAUCAGUAAUCCAUGUUAUCGGUAAAUUUAGUAUAGUUCCACAGAUUUAGAACUGUCAGAUACAGUCGUUCAGUUACCAGCUAUAUAGUAUCUGUAGAGUUAAACAUCUAUUAAUCAGUAUUCAAAUUCAGUAUUCAGCAUUAUCACGACCUCAAUUACAGUCCACGUAUUCAUGUAUGUAUUCUCACCCAGUCAUGUUCAUGUUAUUCAGUCAGUUAUAGUUUAUUCAUAUGAACCCUUGCAUUCAGCCUACCUCACUUUGCAUACCUGUACAUUCGCACGUACUAACAUAUAUUUUUCUCUUAUGCUAUGGUGUUUUAUAUCAUAGGUUUGAACGCUCAGGUUUCCUGUCGCACUUAGCAGUUCUGAUUUCAGCAGUCAGAGUCUGUGGUGAGUCCUCAUAGUUCGAGGACGUGACUAUUUCAUUAUUUUAGUGCUUCAGUACUUAGUUUAUUUUAGCAGUUGGAGUUAGUUGGGGACAUGUCCUAUCAACUCCUUAUUCAGACAGUUUAGAGGCUUUUUCAGACUAGAGCAUUUCGCACAGUUAUUCC